rnacentral:rRNA from 1 species
GACGAACGCUGGCGGCGCGCUUAACACAUGCAAGUCGAGCGAAGCGGCGGAGGGGUGAGUAACACGUGAGUAACCUGGCUUAGAAAUUGGGAUAGCCUCGGGAAACCGGGAUUAAUACCAAAUGGUCUAAGAUGGACUCGCGUCCCAUUAUCUAGUUGGUGAGGUAACGGCCCACCAAGGCGACGAUGGGUAGCCGGCCUGUGAGGGUGAACGGCCACAUUGGAACUGAGAAACGGUCAAAACUCUACGGGAUGCAGCAGUGGGGAAUAUUGCACAAUGGAGGGAACGCUGAUGCAGCGACGCCGGGUGAACGAAGAAGGCUUUCGAGUCGUAAAGUUCUUUUAUAUGGGAAGCGGUACCAUAAGAAAAAGCACCGGCUAACUACGUGCCAGCAGCCGCGGUAAUAC